rnacentral:rRNA from 1 species
UGGAAAGUUGAAAAGAACUUUGAAAAGAGAGUUAAAAAGUGCGUGAAACCGUUAGAGGGGAAACGGAUGCAGUUAGCAAUGCCUCAGCGAGAUUCAGGUGGACGCCUGGUCAGACGUGUAGUGUAUGGAUCCGCAUGGACUGUCGCUGUUCGGCCUGACCUUGUGAUCAUCGCACUUCUCGUUGGGGCGCGUCAACAGCUGCUCUGUCUGAGUGACAAGGCGUCCAGGAAGGUAGGCGCGUGCUUCGGCAUGUGCUGUUAUAGCCUGUGGCGAUACUAGCUCGGACGGGGCAGAGGCGAGCGGUGCAUGCUCUUCUUCGGAGGGGCUGGCGACCUUCUCUUGAUCUUGUGUCGACCAUGGCGGACUGCUUGCAGUGCGUCUGAACUGCUCGAGGUCAUUCGGGAGGCCAACGCACACUAUGCACCUCGGUUGUUGGCGGCCAUAUGGCUUCAUCUGACCCGUCUUGAAACACGGACCAAGGAGUCUAACAUGUGCGCAAGUCUUGGGGUGACUGAAACCCGAAGGCACAAUGAAAGUAAAGGCUGCCUAGCAGCUGAGGUGAGAUCUUCGUUCUACGCGUGCGAGGCGCAUCAUCGACCGACCUAUUCUACUCUUAGAAAGGUUUGAGUAAGAGCGCAUCUGCUUGGGACC